rnacentral:rRNA from 1 species
CCUACGGGAGGCAGCAGUGAGGAAUAUUGGUCAAUGGUCGGGAGACUGAACCAGCCAAGCCGCGUGAGUGAAGAAGUAUUUCGGUAUGUAAAGCUCUAUCAGCAGGGAAGAAGAUGACGGUACCUGAGUAAGAAGCCCCGGCUAACUACGUGCCAGCAGCCGCGGUAAUACGUAGGGGGCAAGCGUUAUCCGGAUUUACUGGGUGUAAAGGGAGCGUAGACGGUGAGACAAGUCUGAAGUGAAAGCCCGGGGCUCAACCCCGGGACUGCUUUGGAAACUGCCUGACUGGAGUGCUGGAGAGGCAAGCGGAAUUCCUAGUGUAGCGGUGAAAUGCGUAGAUAUUAGGAAGAACACCAGUGGCGAAGGCGGCUUGCUGGACAGUAACUGACGUUGAGGCUCGAAAGCGUGGGGAGCAAACAGGAUUAGAUACCCGUGUAGUC